AGCUCAUAAUGGCAGAUCUCUGAGGGCCUAAUAAUGUCACAUCUGGGCAAAAAGGGUUGGGAUGCAUAGGGGGAGGAUUCCCAUGGAUUGAACUGUACUGAGAUGAGGGAGAAACGGAGGAACCUGGUUGGAAUGGAACACUGGGACAAGGACAAGAGUGGUCAGCUAAUGUUUGGGCCAGUCCGGUUCCAAGGUUUGGACCCUUCCCACAACAGGGCCCCAGCAGGAUCCAUGAGGAUUUGGCUGACAUUCCUUCUCUUGGUGGUGAUUAGUGGGAUGCUGGAAUGAGGUUCCCACCUCCCUACUACCCAUUUUCAGGGGUCUUUGAG